AUGAAGACAUGUGUUUCUACUUUAUUCAUGUUUCUGUGGCUGCAGAUGGAUGGGAUGAGCCAAGGAGAGCAGGUGGAGCAGCACCUUUCCAUCCUGAGAGUCCAGGAGGGAGCCAGCGCUGUCAUCAACUGCACUUACACAGACAGUGCCUCGGACUAUUUCUCUUGGUAUAAGCAAGAACCUGGGAAAGGUCCUCAGUUCUUCAUGGACAUUCGUUCAAAUGUGGACAGAAAGCAGAACCAAAGACUCACAGUUUUACUGGAUAAGAAGGCCAAACACUUCUCCCUGCACAUCACAGACACUCAGCCUGGAGACUCAGCUAUGUACCUCUGUGCAGCAAGUACACACUGCCCCACUGGCACCUGCUGCCUGUCCUCAAACCAUGGGGCUGUGUCCACAUCCUGUGUCAAGGGCCUUCCAGGGCAGCAUUUGCCAGUUGCUAGUUUGCAACGCAUGGUGAAUGUCAAAGAGCAAGAACCCACUGUGCUGACGAAGAGAAGAGACGAUGUGUCAGCCACCAAGAUGGGGGACCACAUGUCAGCCACCAAGAUGGGGCUCUCUAUCCCAUGA